UACGUAGGGCGCAAGCGUUGUCCGGAUUCACUGGGUGUAAAGGGUGCGUAGGCGGGUCUUUAAGUCAGGGGUGAAAUCCUGGAGCUCAACUCCAGAACUGCCUUUGAUACUGAAGAUCUUGAGUUCGGGAGAGGUGAGUGGAACUGCGAGUGUAGAGGUGAAAUUCGUAGAUAUUCGCAAGAACACCUAUGGCGAAGGCAGCUCUCUGGGACGGUACUGACGCUGAGACGCGAAAAGCGUGGGGGAGCGAACAGG
rnacentral:rRNA from 1 species